UACGUAGGGCGCGAGCGUUGUCCGGAAUUAUUGGGCGUAAAGAGCUCGUAGGCGGCCUGUCGCGUCAAUUGUGAAAGCCCGGGGCUUAACCCCGGGUCUGCAGUCGAUACGGGCAGGCUAGAGUGUGGUAGGGGAGAUCGGAAUUCCUGGUGUAGCGGUGAAAUGCGCAGAUAUCAGGAGGAACACCGGUGGCGAAGGCGGAUCUCUGGGCCGAUACUGACGCUGAGGAGCGAAAGCGUGGGGAGCAAACAGG
rnacentral:rRNA from 1 species